GAUGAACGCUGGCGGCGUGCCUAAUACAUGCAAGUCGAGCGAACAGACGAGGAGCUUGCUCCUCUGACGUUAGCGGCGGACGGGUGAGUAACACGUGGAUAACCUACCUAUAAGACUGGGAUAACUUCGGGAAACCGGAGCUAAUACCGGAUAAUAUAUUGAACCGCAUGGUUCAAUAGUGAAAGACGGUUUUGCUGUUACUUAUAGAUGGAUCCGCGCCGCAUUAGCUAGUUGGUAAGGUAACGGCUUACCAAGGCAACGAUGCGUAGCCGACCUGAGAGGGUGAUCGGCCACACUGGAACUGAGACACGGUCCAGACUCCUACGGGAGGCAGCAGUAGGGAAUCUUCCGCAAUGGGCGAAAGCCUGACGGAGCAACGCCGCGUGAGUGAUGAAGGUCUUCGGGUCGUAAAACUCUGUUAUUAGGGAAGAACAAAUGUGUAAGUAACUAUGCACGUCUUGACGGUACCUAAUCAGAAAGCCACGGCUAACUACGUG
rnacentral:rRNA from 1 species